rnacentral:rRNA from 1 species
UCUCAUGACCAUACUGGCUUGUCAAAGCCUGAUCUUGUCAGUUUUUAGAAGCUAAGCAAGGCUGGGCCUGGGUAAUACUUUGAUGGGAGCCUCAAAAUUUCAGGUGCUACAGUAG